AGUGAACGCUGGCGGCGUGCUUAACACAUGCAAGUCGAACGAGAACGGGUUAUAGCUUGCUAUAAUUGUCAGCUAAGUGGCGCACGGGUGAGUAAUGUAUAGGUAAUAUGCCUCUUACUAAGGGAUAACAAAUGGAAACGUUUGCUAAUACCUUAUACUCCUUAUUAACAGAAGUUAAUAAGGGAAAGAUUUAUUGGUAAAGGAUUAGCCUGUAUUGUAUCAGUUAGUUAGUGGGGUAAUGGCUUACCAAGACUAUGAUACAUAACUGGUUUGAGAGGAUGAUCAGUCACACUGGAACAGAGACACGGUCCAGAAUCCUACGGGAGGAAGCAGUGGGGAAUAUUGCACAAUGGACGAAAGGCUGAUGCAGCAACGCCGCGUGGAGGAUGACACAUUUCGGUGUGUAAACUCCUUUUAUAUGAGAAGAUAAUGACGGUAUUAUAUGAAUAAGCACCGGCUAACUCCGUGCCAGCAGCCGCGGUAA
rnacentral:rRNA from 1 species